AUGUGUGUGAACAAUUGUCUCAUAUCUUUAUUAUUUCAAUUUUUUCAACAUCCCUCCUCCCCUCUCUCUGUCCCUCUCUCUGUCCCUCUCUCUUAUGCUGUAGGUGAGGAAGAGCAGGGUUCCAUGGCUGAGGUGUCCUACUACUCCUAUGAGUAUGACCCAGACUCAGAACCCUUCGCUGCGGAGGGGGAGGACCACUUUGAGCUGGCGGAAGGGGAGCAGGGGGGAGAGCAGGACAGUCCAUCAGAUAGCCAGCUACCCACACUGGACACAAAGGACACCCAUGAGCGAUGAAACUUCCCCUGACUGCAUCACCAGCCAGAUCUCCAAAUUGUACAUUGUUUGUUAAUAUGUUAGAGUGGGUGGAGAGAGAAGGAAAAGAGGGGACUGCCCAUCCUGAAAGGAAGAGAUGGUGGGAUGUGUGUGUGCGUGCAUAUGAAUGACUAAAGGACUACGUGUGUGCGUGUGUGUGCGUGUGUGUGUGUGUUACUAUGCUAGUCCCCCUCCAGCCCUCUGUAUUUCUCUCUUUUAUAUCUCCAGUCUCUUAUUCAACAGUAGACACCAUAGCGUCUUUGAUAUUCACUGUAGUGCCUUUACAUUGUUUUUCUGUAACCUCUAGAUGGAGGUGUAAUUACACCUGAGUUAAAACAAAUGUUUUUUUGUUGUUUUUUCUAUCUGUGGUAUUUAUUUGUAGCUAGUGCUUUUUUGGUUUAUUUGUUCCAAUGCCUCCCCCUAUUGCCUUUUUGUCCUGUCACCUACACCAAUGUCUUCAUUUAAUUCAUCAAAAAUAUGUCAAGAUGUCAUGGACCUAUUUUUCUUAUUCUGAGGAAGCCUUAGGUCGAACACUGAGGUGUACAGUGGAUAUCUUUAUGUACUUAUUUGGUGUGUUAACCUACUAGAGACGGAAUUUCUGCAGCCUUAAACUGGAGGAUUAAGAUAAGCUCAAUCCUUCUAAACAUUUUUACCAAGCUACCAAUAUCUCCACAUAAUAAGUCCUAUUUGGGUAUAGCUGUCACCUCACUGUUGAACAGACAGGGAUUUGAUUGUACAGUACAUAAGCUAUUUUGUUUUGUUAAAUUUUGAUUAUUGAUAUCCUAAAACAAGAAUAAAGGUUUGGAACUAUGGUACAUUUACCAUUUAAACCAAUGUAACCCCACAUCCAUUUUCAAUACAGCUGCUUUUGAAAAACAAGAGAAUAAACUUUGUAUACAAUCCAUGUCUCUGUUUGCAGUUAACUUUACAUGCUACUGUAAGUCUCUCCUCAGGUAGCAGUAAUUUUAUUCCCUAUAUGUAUAGGCCUAUAUGUUACAUAGGAAACGAGGAGCAGACCUGGUGGUUAAGGAGUUGUGUUGGUCUGAAGAGAAUUUCCUGUCAUCCUGUCAGCAGUUAGCUGUGUUAUUAGGAAGCGCUGCGGUCUUUCAGAAUACCCUCUGCUUUGAAGGCUGUGACUCCGUGACCUCUGGAAUGGCUGUGUUUAGCUGGACCAACCCGUUUGUUUGCCCCUGUUAACAACACAUUCAGGUUACCUAAACAGCAGCCAGGAGAGAGUUGGAGCCUGUUAAUGUUUAAUGUUGGCAAAUGUUGGCACUAAACAAGGCACUUGUUUAUGUUCUCGGUUAUAAUAUAGCUUCUGGCAACUAUAGUGUGUGCUUCUGCUGCUGUUUAAAAUGAAUACCUGGUCAAAACGGUACAUGGAUAUGCCUUUUCAAUGUAGAGGUUAUUGAAUGGGUCAUGAGCCCACUGUAUGAUCGAACUACAGGAAUGGUGGUGGAAAACUGUCAGAUUACACAUUACAUAUGUUAUAAUAUGCAUUGUCUUUCUCACUUUCAGUGUAUCAUAUACUGUGCUAUGUCAAGAAGGAUAAUAUUUGUUCACUCCACUCCUUUGCAGGUCUCGAAGGGAUACUGUUGUGAUAUAAAGUGUGAAUGGUAUAUCUACAUUACAAGUGGGAGGUCUGCUGUAUGAAUGGGGAAGGUACAGUGGGGAAACUCACUUCGCUGACCAAGCAAUGCUGGAGCCCUGGUUUCUGAGUCUGAAUAUCAUGGAACAUCUCCCUGGCAACUGCAUGCAUGGUUGAAGUGUAAUAUUCUGCCUCCAUGCUGCGAUGAACAGCGAGAGUGAAAUAGUAAGGAGGGAGAGGGGGAUCUUGGUUUCAUGGAUUGCUCUGUGGAGAUAGUGUUACAUGACAGUGCAUUCGAGUGAUGACAUUGUUUCUAAGCACCAGCAGUGCUGGACUGCUUUUUAACUGGCUGAGAUGAUGGACUAGUUGGAGACAGCAUUGGAGUGAGAUCAAACAUUUGUUCAUUUUAAAGGCCCUUCUAAACAAGAUGCUCUAUUUUUUAUGGUCUUUAUGGGCCUUUGAUGUAGGGCUGGGCGAUAUAUCGUCUUUUAAGGUAUACCGGUAUAGAUUUUACUAUACUGCCUAUAAAGGUAAUUUAAUACAGUGCUAAAUAAAUAAAACGUUCUACAAAUUGGACUACUUCCCUGUCAGUUUUGUCCUAGUUUGUUUGAGUAUAAUCAGAAUGGAGAAAGCCCAUAUAAAACACUUAGAAUUAAUUUGUUGCCAUACUCGGGUCAUGCACUACUCAUAAAACAUAUUAAGAACUUUUAUGAUUUAGAAACAAAAAAUACCACCAUACUGUAAAAAACAAGAAAAAUAUUGUGAUAUGAUAUUUUGGCCAUAUCGCCCAGCCCUAUUUGAUGGUAAUGGAUCUUAUUUUGGAGUGAUUAACUGCACAGACUGUUUUAAGGUAUGCAUUUCUGAAUAGGCGAGCUCCAUACUGUAUUCAACUGUAUUUAACUCGGGAGACUUGGGAGAUGUUGCUGCUGAGUGGAGAGCUGACAUCCAUCUGACACAGAAGAUCACCUCACUAAGAAGAGAGGAAGACUUGCUGGCUAUGAAGCAUCUCUAGAGCCUGUUUGUGUCCACAUCUACAGUAGUAUGCUCCCUAUACCUGUGUUUUUGUGCAUACUGUAUUGUCAAAUGCCAUCUUAUUGAUUGAAUAGAGCAGUUUAUGUAAUGAUUUGGAAGAUUUUUUUUGUAGGACUUCUUGUAGGAGCGUAAAUCUCUUUGACCAUUGUGGGGAGGUGAAAAACCACCCC
rnacentral:lncRNA from 13 species